GUCUCUGUGGCGCAAUUGGUUAGCGCGUUCUGCUGUUAACCAGAAGGUUGGUGGUUCGGGCCCACCCAGGGACG
rfam:Pongo abelii chromosome 1.